rnacentral:rRNA from 1 species
UACGAAGGGGGCUAGCGUUGUUCGGAAUCACUGGGCGUAAAGCGCACGUAGGCGGAUUUUUAAGUCAGGGGUUAAAUCCCGAGGCUCAACCUCGGAACUGCCUUUGAUACUGGAGAUCUUGAGUCCGGAAGAGGUAAGUGGAACUGCGAGUGUAGAGGUGAAAUUCGUAGAUAUUCGCAAGAACACCAGUGGCGAAGGCGGCUUACUGGUCCGGAACUGACGCUGAGGUGCGAAAGCGUGGGGAGCAAACAGG